rfam:Colinus virginianus strain Texas jcf7180006227103, whole genome shotgun sequence.
CUCUAUGGCCAUACCACUCUGGCAAUGCCCGAUCUUGUCUGAUCUCGGAAGCUAAGCAGGGUCGGGCCUGGUUAGUACUUGGAUGGGAAACUUCCUCGGAAUACCGGGUGCCGUAGGCU